CAUCUUAGUGGCGGACGGGUGAGUAACGCGUGGGGAACCUGCCCUGUACAGGGGGAUAACACUUAGAAAUAGGUGCUAAUACCGCAUAACGGGGGGAGCCGCAUGGCACCCCCUGAAAACUCCGGUGGUACAGGAUGGGCCCGCGUCUGAUUAGCUGGUUGGCAGGGUAACGGCCUACCAAGGCGACGAUCAGUAGCCGGCCUGAGAGGGCGGACGGCCACACUGGGACUGAGACACGGCCCAGACUCCUACGGAAGGCAGCAG
rnacentral:rRNA from 1 species